rfam:Astyanax mexicanus chromosome 3, whole genome shotgun sequence.
GGCUCCAUAGCUCAGUGGUUAGAGCGCUAGUCUAGUAAACUAGAAGUCGCGAGUUCGAUCCUCGCUGGAGCCU